CGCUCACGCCCGGUCGUACU
rnacentral:snRNA from 1 species